GGGUACGUGGUGUAAAUGGAAACACGCUGGUACUCUCAUUAUGCUGGCAUCCAGAGUUGUCGGUUCGAUUCCUACCGUAUCCA